rnacentral:rRNA from 1 species
CUUGCACCUGGUGGCGAGUGGCGAACGGGUGAGUAAUACAUCGGAACGUACCUUAUCGUGGGGGAUAACGCAGCGAAAGCUGUGCUAAUACCGCAUACGCCCUGAGGGGGAAAGCGGGGGAUCGAAAGACCUCGCGCGAUUAGAGCGGCCGACGCCUGAUUAGCUUGUUGGUGGGGUAAAAGCCCACCAAGGCGACGAUCAGUAGCUGGUCUGAGAGGACGAUCAGCCACACUGGGACUGAGACACGGCCCAGACUCCUACGGGAGGCAGCAGUGGGGAAUUUUGGACAAUGGGGGAAACCCUGAUCCAGCAAUGCCGCGUGAGUGAAGAAGGCCUUCGGGUUGUAAAGCUCUUUUGUCAGGGAAGAAACACCGGCUCUAACACAGUCCGGGAAUGACGGUACCUGAAGAAUAAGCACCGGCUUACUACGUGCCAGCAGCCGCGGUAAUACGUAGGGUGCGAGCGUUAAUCGGAAUUACUGGGCGUAAAGCGUGCGCAGGCGGUUAUACAAGACAGGCGUGAAAUCCCCGGGCUUAACCUGGGAAUGGCGCCUGUGACUGUAUAGCUAGAGUGUGUCAGAGGGGGGUAGAAUUCCACGUGUAGCAGUGAAAUGCGUAGAUAUGUGGAGGAAUACCAAUGGCGAAGGCAGCCCCCUGGGAUAACACUGACGCUCAUGCACGAAAGCGUGGGGAGCAAACAG